UAGCAUGGCUCAAUAAUGUAGCUGGGGGGUAGGACGGCAGCACUCAAGGCCAUGGGGCUUUCUAGGCGGCUAAUUUGGACUUUGGUCUUGUUUACCAUUCGAGAGAACGCCGCAACCCCCCCCCACCCUCCGCUUUAUGAAGACCCUGUCGAGCCCAGAGCUCCCCAAACUAAAACACAAAUGAGGCUGAAGCGUUUCUGGUGAAAAUCGAGAGUAUCCACCAAGACGUACGUCCCAAAUGUUAUGCUAGGACAGUUCUAUUCAACUGGCGACACGUUAGCAUGAACAUUGAACAUUUUUGAGCUUCCUACAAACAGCGUAUCACUCCUGUCAUACACAGUUAUUGUUUGUUGUUAUUGUUAACAACCUAACAAUAUUGUUAUUGGGUUAUUGACUCUUGUUUUUGCAGUAUUUUAUCAGAUCUUUGCAGUAGAGCGGUUCAGCCGCUGUUUUUGCUAGUGUGGAGUGGUCGGCUAGCUCAAUAGCAUAGCAUUAGUCACGUCACGUUACCAUCAAAACGUCUUACUGCGUUUUAUUCACUAAAGACCGCACAUAAGUGAGGACAAUGCGUGGUAAAGUGAGUGUGUCUGGUGUUAGCUUGAAUUUAGCUUGUAUUUCUUCAUGCCUUCGUCGCCUCUGUUUAUGUUCUUGACACCGCAUUGGAGUACUUCGGCCCCAAGUGGGUGGUGUAUGAAGUUUCUGGUACUCUGGAGAUCUCAGGAACGCUCAACGGUAAUUACGCCCGCUAAGUGAAAGCGAAACGGGAGGCCGAGUCGCAGGUUCCGAGCGUCGCGAUUCGCGAACAACACAUCGAGGAUGACGAGCUCGCUAAGAACAAAGCAGAGAAAUGCCCCCUUCACAGGUUAGCUUGGGUGUGGGCUUUUUCUGUGUCGGGCUGUCAGCCAGCUAUUUGUCACCCUGAGCGACCAGACGUGCCGCCGAAUCAAUCACUCAACACCUCUUUGGCUUGUG